GAUGAAGAACGUAGCGAAAUGCGAUAAGUAAUGCGAAUUGAAGAAUUCCAGUGAGUCAUCGAAUCUUUGAACGCACAUUGCGCCCUUUGGUAUUCCGAAGGGCAUGCCUGUUCGAGCGUCAUUAUCACCCCUCAAGCCCUCGGCUUGGUGUUGGACGGUUUGGUGGAGGCCCCCUCGGGGGCUCCUGCCCCUCCCAAAGACAAUGACGGCGGCCUCGUUGGACCCCCGGUACACUGAGUUCUUCACGGGACACGUAUCGGACUCAUGGGUUUACGGGACACGGUCUGCCUCCCCUCAGGGAGAAUCUUUCUAAGGUUGACCUCGGAUCAGGUAGGGAUACCCGCUGAACUUAAGCAUAUCAAUAAGCGGAGGA
rnacentral:misc_RNA from 1 species